rnacentral:rRNA from 2 species
GAGUUUGAUCCUGGCUCAGAACGAACGCUGGCGGCGUGGAUAAGACAUGCAAGUCGAGCGGGAUACACAAGGUAGCAAUAUUUUGUGUGUUCAGCGGCGCAAGGGUGCGUAACACGUGGGUAAUUUGCCAUGAAGUCCGGAACAACCUGCUGAAAGGCGGGCUAAUGCCGGAUGUGACUGCGGAGGAGCAUUUUUCUGCAUUCAAAGUUGGGGACCGCAAGGCCUGACGCUUCAUGAUAAGCCCGCGGCCUAUCAGCUAGUUGGUGAGGUAACGGCUCACCAAGGCUAAGACGGGUAGCUGGUCUGAGAGGACGACCAGCCACACUGGAACUGAGAUACGGUCCAGACACCUACGGGUGCAGCAGUCGAGAAUUUUCACAAUGGGCGAAAGCCUGAUGGAGCGACGCCGCGUGGGGGAUGAAUGGCUUCGGCCCGUAAACCCCUGUCAUUUGCGAUCAAACCUUUCCACCUAACACGUGGAGAGCUGAUAGUAGCGGAAGAGGAA